rnacentral:rRNA from 2 species
UUGGAGGGCAAGUCUGGUGCCAGCAGCCGCGGUAAUUCCAGCUCCAAUAGCGUAUAUUAAAGUUGUUGCAGUCAAAAAGCUCGUAGUUGAAUUUCGGGGUUAGUAGGUUGGUCAUGCCUCUGGUAUGUACUGGUCUCACUGAUUCCUCCUUCCUGAUGAGCCGUAAUGCCAUUAAUUUGGUGUUGCGGGGAAUUUGGACUGUUACUUUGAAAAAAUUAGAGUGUUUAAAGCAAGCUAACGCUUGAAUACAUUAGCAUGGAAUAAUGAAAUAGGACGUUCGAUCCUAUUUUGUUGGUUUCUAGGAUUGACGUAAUGAUUAAUAGGGAUAGUUGGGGGCAUUAGUAUUCAAUUGUCAGAGGUGAAAUUCUUGGAUUUAUUGAAGACUAACUACUGCGAAAGCAUUUGCCAAGGAUGUUUUCAUUAAUCAAGAACGAAAGUUAGGGGAUCGAAGACGAUCAGAUACCGUCGUAGUCUUAACCAUAAACUAUGCCGACUAGGGAUCGGAUGAUGUUAAUUUUUUAAUGACUCAUUCGGCGCCUUACGGGAAAC